rnacentral:lncRNA from 10 species
CUUUUUUUCCAGAUACAAGUGAUUCAAAUCUCAACAUCCUUAAAGGAAUUCUGAUUUCAAGUUUGAAAUAAGAACCAUCCUUUGUGUGGAUUCAGAUGACAGAAGUCGAGAAUGAACAGAUGUCUUUCAACAAGGAACAUUAAGAAAAUGAAUAUUUGAUGUCAUGAAAUUUGAUUUCAUGGAGCAUCAGAAAAGCACAGGUCUGGGGGUACAUGUGUGGAUUUGUUAUAUAGAUAACUUGCAUGUCACAGGUGUUGGGAACACAGAUCAUCACCCAGAUGGCAUGGCAACUGGCCCAAUCUCUGCUGCUGACUGCUCCUGCAGUCUUGUUCUCAGUGACAAUAAACAAUGCCACCUUCUCUUGUGAUUGAUCCAUGAUGGACAUGAAGUAACACUGAGAAUAAACCUAUGUUGUUUUAAGACACUGAUAUUUGGGACUUAUUCUCACUACUACAGAAUAAACUCUUCUAUUCUGACUGAACCAACUAUUACUAAAAAAGAGAAGAAAAAGGACAUUUUUGGACUCACAGUGGCUCAGCUAUUUUAUUUCCUAAGCAUCAGUUCUUAAGACAUUACUCGAAAAUAUACUCCAGGGAAAUGAGAGAGUAAACCACAAAAGAGGAUGACAAGAUCUGGAAAAAUGUAAUUCUAUCUCAGCAAAAUAAAAAAGGGAAGUCUCAGUAUGGGCAGGAGAACAGAAGGUAAAAGAAAAGAGGACUCUGGGUUGGGCGAGGUGGCUCACACCUGUAAUCCCAGCACUUCAGGAGGCUGAGACAAGCAGAUCGCAAGGUCAGGAGUUCAAGACCAUCCUGACCAACAUGGUGAAAUCCCAUCUCUACUAAAAAUACAAAAAUUAGCUGAGUGUGGUGGUGCAUACCUGUAAGCCCAACUACUCAGGAGGCUGAGGCAGGAGAAUCACUUAAACCCGGGAGGCGGAGAUUGCAGUGAGCCGAGAUCGCACCACUGUAC